rnacentral:lncRNA from 1 species
UGCUAAUGUCAAUCAUUUUUUAAUUUAUACAAAUAGCAGUUUCAUAUGGUUUUUACCCAAUAUCUACCCCAUAAGGCUGUUAUGAUGAUCAUGUGAGAUUAUAGCUUUAUUUGGAUUUUCUCCCAUCAACAAGAUUUUCUUAUUUAUUCUACAGUUAAUAUAAACUUGGGUAGAAAAAUGGAAUCUGCAUCUGUGGAGAGCAUUAUAUCUGACAGCAGCUAAUACAGGAAGAUACACCGCCAUGAGCUUUAGUCGCAGCUCUACAUAAAUAGGUAACAUGCUAAUAUCUGAUAUAUUCAGCAGGUCCCUGAAGAGCAAGAACUUUACUCACUAAUUCCUUAACUUUCCAAACCAC